AAAAAGACAAACCGCAUGUUUCCGUGCCAAUCCGUCUUAUAUAAAAUUUUUUUAUAAUUAGUAUUUUCAUUGUUGUUAGAUGAUAAAACAUGAUUAAUACUUUAUGUAUGACUUAUCUUUUUAAUUUUUUCAUAAUUUUUUCAUAAUUUUUUUCAAAUAAGACGGACGGUCAAACGUUAGACACGGAAACCAGUGUUUGCCUUUUUU
rnacentral:pre_miRNA from 1 species